rnacentral:rRNA from 1 species
UACGAAGGUGGCAAGCGUUGUUCGGAUUUACUGGGCGUACAGGGAGCGUAGGCGGUUGGAUAAGCCCUCCGUGAAAUCUCCAGGCUUAACCUGGAAAGUGCAGAGGGGACUGUUCAGCUAGAGGAUGGGAGAGGAGCGCGGAAUUCCCGGUGUAGCGGUGAAAUGCGUAGAGAUCGGGAGGAACACCAGUGGCGAAGGCGGCGAUCUGGGCAGAUACUGACGCUGAGGUGCGAAAGCGUGGGGAGCAAACAGG